UACCGAGGGGGCAAGCGUUAUUCGGAAUUAUUGGGCGUAAAGGGCGCGUAGGCGGCUUGGCAAGUGGAAGGUGAAAUCCCUCGGCUUAACCGAGGAACUGCCCUCCAAACUGCUUGGCUUGAGUCCGGGAGAGGUGAGUGGAAUUCCCAGUGUAGCGGUGAAAUGCGUAGAUAUUGGGAGGAACACCAGUGGCGAAGGCGGCUCACUGGACCGGAACUGACGCUGAGGCGCGAAAGCGUGGGGAGCAAACGGG
rnacentral:rRNA from 1 species